UAUUCUCAGGGCGGGGUGAAAUUCCCCACCGGCGGUAUGUGGCCUUGUGUCACGAGCCCGCGAGCGCCUUUGACAGUCAAAGGGUCAGCAGAUCAGGUGAGAGGCCUGAGCCGACGGUUAAAGUCCGGAUGGAAGAGAAUG
rnacentral:ncRNA from 1 species